GAAAAUUAAUGAAGGGAAAACUAAUGGUGAAUUUGGAGGAAAAUAUUUAGAGAAGAAAAUAAAGGUUUGUGGUUGGAGUUUGAAUGAAUAGUAUCAUCUUCUAUAUUUACUUUUUGAAUAUAAAAAUUUAUUUUCAUCCUCUUGGUGAGAGGAUUGGGUUGGAGAUGCUCUUAGUGUGUUCUUUCCAUCCUAAUCCUACCGAUCGCCGAACCAACCAAAGCCCACCAUCUAUCCCUCUUAUAAGUUUCUUGUAUGCUGAGCAGAAAGCGGUACUGUUUGUUUGCUUGUUCAGCUGAUCUCACCCUUGGCUGCCUUCACAUUUGUUCGCACUGGUGUGGAUUCAAUGGCUUCUACAAGUUUCCUCUAUUUGGUGUACCUCAAUUUUAUAAUCUUGGAGCACCUCUCUCUUUGUAGAAGAAUUGGUUGGGCAACAUUUAAAUUUCGCACCACCAUCUUCUUGCUCUACCUGUUGGCGAUAUUCCUGCUCAUUGCUUGUCUUCUACUGAGAUGUUCAUGCCUGAUUUAUAAAAAAUGAUCGAGAAGCGCCUCGCAAGUGGCCAAGUCAAAGAGCUCAUCGAAGAGGCCCAGGACAAGCUCAAACUCAUCACUAAGAUGUUCCCCCUCAAGCAAUUUUGGAAGAUCCAUUCAGGAAGGGAAACAAUAUAUUGAUCAUCUGUGAUGCUUGCACUCCUGCUGGUGAACCAUUUCCAACGAACAAGAGGCACCAUGCUGAAGAA